rnacentral:lncRNA from 1 species
GGCGCCCACCACCAUGUCCGGUUAAUAUUUUGUAUUUUUAGUAGAGAUGGGGUUUCACCAUGUUGGCCAGACUGGUCUCGAAUUCCUGCCCCCAGGUGAUCCACCUGCCUCAGCCUCCCAAAGUGCUGGGAUUAUAGGCACGAGCCACUGUGCCCAGCCAACAGGUCGAUAUUUUUGAUUUAAGAUGGCUUAUUCGGCCGUAACUCCAUCGUAAAACAAACACACGGAGUUUCAGAGGCUGGAUUUCUAGAAGUUGGCAUCUCAUAGGAAACCUUGUUUUUCUAUGCCAAUUUUAAACUGUGAGGAAGACUGACAGGACUUCUCAGAUAUGAGACCUAUUUAUUUAUUUAUUUUUGAGACGGAAUUUUGCUCUUGUCCCCCAGACUGGAGUGCAACGGCGCGAUCUUGACUCGCUGCAACCUCUGCCUCCUGGGUUCAUGUGAUUCUCGUGAUUCUCCUGCCUCAGCCUCCCAAGUAGCUGGGAUUACAGGCAGGUGCCACCAUGCC